ACCUUUUUUGGCCUCAUGU
rnacentral:snRNA from 1 species